rnacentral:rRNA from 1 species
AACGAACGCUGGCGGCAGGCUUAACACAUGCAAGUCGAGCGCCCCGCAAGGGGAGCGGCAGACGUGUGAGUAACGCGUGGGAAUCUACCCAUCUCUACGGAAUAACGCAUGGAAACGUGUGCUAAUACCGUAUACGUCCUUCGGGAGAAAGAUUUAUCGGAGAUGGAUGAGCCCGCGUUGGAUUAGCUAGUUGGUGGGGUAAAGGCCUACCAAGGCGACGAUCCAUAGCUGGUCUGAGAGGAUGAUCAGCCACACUGGGACUGAGACACGACCCAGACUCCUACGGGAGGCAGCAGUGGGGAAUAUUGGACAAUGGGCGCAAGCCUGAUCCAGCCAUGCCGCGUGAGUGAUGAAGGCCCUAGGGUUGUAAAGCUCUUUCACCGGUGAAGAUAAUGACGGUAACCGGAGAAGAAGCCCCGGCUAACUUCGUGCCAGCAGCCGCCGUAAAAC